AGCAGCCGCGGUAAUUCCAGCUCCAAUAGCGUAUAUUAAAGUUGUUGCAGUUAAAAAGCUCGUAGUUGAAUUUCGGGAUCGACGGGUCGGUCGCGCCUCUGGUGUGUACUGGCCCUGUCGGUUUCUCCCUUCUGACGAACCACGAUGUCAUUAAUUUGGUGUCGUGGGAAAUCAGGACUGUUACUUUGAAAAAAUUAGAGUGUUUAAAGCAGGCAUUCGCUUGAAUACAUUAGCAUGGAAUAAUGAAAUAGGACGUUUGAUCUUAUUUUGUUGGUUUCUAAGAUCGACGUAAUGAUUAAUAGGGAUAGUUGGGGGCAUUAGUAUUCAAUUGUCAGAGGUGAAAUUCUUGGAUUUAUUGAAGACUAACUACUGCGAAAGCAUUUGCCAAGGAUGUUUUCAUUAAUCAAGAACGAAAGUUAGGGGAUCGAAGACGAUCAGAUACCGUCGUAGUCUUAACCAUAAACUAUGCCGACUAGGGAUCGGAUGAUGUUAAUUUUUAAUGACUCAUUCGGCGCCUUAA
rnacentral:rRNA from 1 species